rnacentral:rRNA from 1 species
AUGCCUAGCAUCGGCCUUUUAUCUUCGGGGUCGGCAUUCCAGGACAUCCACCGGCGGAUUCUCCAGGAGACAAAGGCACAUUUAUCAGCACAUCCACAAGCUCUUGCUUCUCGAUUGAUAAAGCUUCUUUUCCUAACUGGCUUCGACGAGGCCGAACUUAAGGGCUACACGCCGGUCAUCCAUGCCAACGUGUACCAGACAAUCAAAAUACUAUAUGAUGGAGCUAAAGAGCUUGCCCAGGUGAGCCUUCAAAGUAUGUUAUUUUACCCACUAAUCAGGUCUGAGAUUGGAGAAAAAUUAUCAGAAAUCGGUGGCAGGUUGGAUUACCCACCCCUUAACAGAGAACUCGUACAGGAUGUAAGAAAAUUAUGGGAAGAUCCAGCCAUUCAGGAAACUUACUCGUGUGGAAGUGUGCUGCAAGCUCCUGACUGUGCACACUACUUCAUGGAAAAUCUGGAUCGAUUAGCUGAACCAGAUUAUGUACCAACAAAGGAGGAUGUGCUCCAUGCAAGAGUAAGGACAAAUGGGGUUGUAGAAAUUCAAUUUAGCCCCCUUGGAGAGAGCAAAAGAGGCGGAGAGGUAUACAGACUGUACGAUGUAGGAGGUCAAAGGAAGAAUGAGAGGAGGAAGUGGAUUCAUCUUUUUGAAGGCGUUGAUGCUGUCAUCUUUUGUGCUGCCAUUAGCGAGUACGACCAGUUGUUAUUUGAGGAUGAGACGCAAAACAGGAUGAUGGAGACCAAGGAGCUGUUCGACUGGGUAUUAAAGCAGAGAUGUUUUGAGAAAAUAUCGUUCAUGCUGUUCCUCAACAAAUUCGACAUAUUUGAGAGGAAAAUAGAAAAGGUUCCUUUGACCGUGUGCGAGUGGUUUAAAGACCACGAGCCGAUGGCGCCUGGCAAAAGGGAUGUGGAGCAUGCAUAUGAGUUCGUGAAGAAGAAGUUUGAGGAGGUUUACUUCCAGAGCAGCAAGCCGGACCGCGUGGACCGGGUGUUCAAGAUCUCUAGAAUGAUGUCGCUGGACCAGAAACUUGUGAAGAGGACGUUCAAGCUGAUCGACAAGAGCAUGAGGCGCUCCAGGGAGGGAACGGGGACGUUAUUGAGGCUAGCUUUUUGUGACUGA